AAAGUUCCGUUAGAUAGCGCUUGAAGUUUGAUCCGAAACGGUUGGGGAUAGUCUUGAUGCAUGGUGUGCAAGCCUGCUUAAAGUAGGAAGCCUAAAGUGCAUCACAAAUCACCAUCAUAGCAUUGUUGCUUUCAAGUCAAUAGGCCACUGACGGAACUUUU
rnacentral:other from 1 species